AGUGAACGUUGGCGGCGUGGAUUAGGCAUGCGAGUCGAGCGAGAACCGUAGCAAUACGGGACAGCGGCGAAAGGGACAGUAAUAUGUAGGUACCUACCCUCGGGUCCGGGAUAGCUGCGGGAAACUGCAGGUAAUACCGGAUGACAUCUCCGGAUCAAAGGUGUGAUUCCGCCCGGGGAGGGGCCUGCAUCCUAUUAGCUUGUUGGUGGGGUAACGGCCUACCAAGGCGACGAUGGGUAGCGGGUGUGAGAGCAUGACCCGCGUCAUUGGGACUGAGACACUGCCCAGACACCUACGGGUGGCUGCAGUCGAGAAUCUUCGGCAAUGGGGGCAACCCUGACCGAGCGACGCCGCGUGCGGGAUGAAGGCCUUCGGGUUGUAAACCGCUGUCGUAGAGGAGGAAAUGCAGGGGGGUUCUCCCCUCUGUUUGACCUAUUCUAGGAGGAAGGACGGGCUAAGUUCGUGCCAGCAGCCGCAGUAA
rnacentral:rRNA from 1 species